CGCAAUUAGAAUGCUAAAUAAUACCAAAUUAAGCUGAAAUUACAUGGAAAUUAGAACUUCAUAACAAUAUACAUUUUAAGGUGCAUGAAGUCUAUCAAGUGAAAUAUACUGGACACCUUUUAUUCCUGUAACUAGCCAAGAUCGAGCCGUCCGUGCCCACACCGACAGCACAGCUGGCGUGCAUCCGAUGGCGCUUGCUAUCCCACGUGGACACCUUAAAUUGAAUGUUCGAUGUUAUAUCUAAACGAAAGAUCACCGUCCCUUGCGUGCGAUCAUUCAAGAACUCCAUCCAACGCUGGCUAUUCACCGUCAGGGUGGCCCCACUUAAGACUCCAUACAUAAUCGUAGUAUUCUUGGGCUCUUGAUAAAACGGGUCCAACAACGGAAUAUACCCGAUCCGUUGAUCCUUGUAGUAAACCGAACCUUCCACGUUAUCGUAAUGAAAUCCGAUGUGCUGGUUCGAAUUCCGGGCCGUUACAUUGAAGGUUAUCAGGGCAUUCUCAAACCCGUUGGGUUGACCCAAACCUGGAACAGAAAAAUCGUGGAUGAAGAUCCGAGGCCGAUGCGGGCGUAAGCUAAGCCAUAGAAUGAAAAAAACAAUGCCAACGACUAGAAGAAUGAUCAAGAAAAUAGCACAUAUAAGCUUGGAGACGCGGGUGGUGAGGCUUUCACGGACUCGGUGAGCAUAGUAGCGAGGGGUGUGGUGGCGCUUUAUGGCCGGAGGUUCCUGGCCGGUGCGAACAGGGAAUCUUUCGAAGUUGUUCAUUUCCAGAGAAAUAUCUGUGAAUAGAAGCUUUC
rnacentral:misc_RNA from 1 species